rnacentral:misc_RNA from 1 species
GAAUUUUCGAUUGAAAUGUUUGCAAAGCUACAAUUUUCAAAUUAACACAAUUGCGUACAAAUAGUUAUGUGUAAUGUGCAGUAAAGCUGUGGCCUUUUUGUAGGGGGGAGAUUUCCCAAAGAUCACCUUUCAUAUUGAAUUACCAUUUGUACAGCAUAUUCACCUAUGACCACAACUGACUGCAGUAGUCAUGGCAAUGACUCUUCAACAACAAUAAAUGGUCCAAUAGAAUCCAACAGAAUCACUGACCUACUCCUGACUCAAUCUCCAUGGCAAGUUUGAGUUCAGCAGUAUCUGGGAACAAUGAGCGCAUGGUGGGAUUAUUGGUGGCUGUCCCAGGCAGUGUUUCUCAAAGAGAGUUAGAUGAGGCUUUACUUCAGGCCUGUCGUCUUGGCCACAAACAAUGUCUGGAAAUACUAUUGAGUGCUGGGGCUGACAUUCACCAAAGUGACACCCAGGAUAGAACUCUUCUACAUAUCGCUGCAUCUGAGGGUCAUACUGACAUCAUUGAUACAUUGCUGUCAUUUGAACAUUGUGACAUCGAUGCUAGAUGUCAGCAAGGGACAAGUUUACAUAUGGCAGCACGUAUGGGGCAUAUUGACUGUCUUAAACGGCUCGUAAAUGCAGGUGCUAACAUAGAUGCAGUAGAUCAAUCAGGAAGCACUGCUCUGGUUCUUGCCACAAAAAAUAUAAAUCGGGCACGACCUAUUGCACAGUACCUCAUUGAAGCAGGGUGUGAUUUAAAUGCACAGGAUAAAUGUUUAAAAACUGCCCUGCAUUAUGCUUGCAAGAAAGCAUUUGGUGUUGAUCUUCUACUAAAUGCUGGUGCCAGAACUGACCUCUUAGAUGAACAUGGAAAUACUUCUAUAAUCUAUGCAGCUACCGAAGGAUUCUGCGGUGUGAUUAG